CGAACGGAGUUAUCAUUUUUGAAGCAAAUAGCUUGCUAGGAGUGGAGAUAUUGAUAACUUAGUGGCGGACGGGUGAGUAACGCGUGGGUAACCUGCCGUAUACAGGGGGAUAACACUUAGAAAUAGGUGCUAAUACCGCAUAAGCGCACGGUUCCGCAUGGGACAGUGUGAAAAACCGAGGUGGUAUACGAUGGACCCGCGUCUGAUUAGCCAGUUGGCAGGGUAACGGCCUACCAAAACGACGAUCAGUAGCCGGCCUGAGAGGGCGGACGGCCACAUUGGGACUGAGACACGGCCCAAACUCCUACGGGAGGCAGCAGUGGGGGAUAUUGCACAAUGGGGGAAACCCUGAUGCAGCGACGCCGCGUGAGUGAAGAAGUAUUUCGGUAUGUAAAGCUCUAUCAGCAGGGAAGAAGAUGACAGUACCUGAGUAGGAAGCCCCGGCUAACUACGUGCCAGCAGCCGCGGUAAUACGUAGGGGGCAAGCGUUAUCCGGAUUUACUGGGUGUAAAGGGAGCGUAGACGGAUGGAUAAGUCUGAAGUGAAAGCCCGCGGCUCAACUGCGGGACUGCUUUGGGAACUGUGCAUCUUGAGUACGGGAGGGGCAGGCGGAAUUCCUGGU
rnacentral:rRNA from 1 species